rnacentral:rRNA from 1 species
UACGUAGGGUCCGAGCGUUGUCCGGAAUUACUGGGCGUAAAGCGCGCGCAGGCGGCCCGCGAGGUGUCACGUGAAAGCCCCGGGCUCAACCCGGGAGGGUCGUGGCAAACCGGCGGGCUUGAGGCCGGUAGAGGUGGGUGGAACUCCUGGUGGAGUGGUGAAAUGCGUAGAGAUCAGGAAGAACACCCGUGGCGAAGGCGGCCCACUGGGCCGGUACUGACGCUGAGGCGCGAAGGCGUGGGGAGCAAGCAGG